rnacentral:rRNA from 1 species
CGGACGGGUGAGUAACGCGUGGAAAACCUGCCGUAUACUGGGGGAUAACACUUAGAAAUAGGUGCUAAUACCGCAUAAGCGCACAGCUUCGCAUGAAGCGGUGUGAAAAACUCUGGUGGUAUACGAUGGUUCCGCGUCUGAUUAGCUAGUUGGUGGGGUAAUGGCCUACCAAGGCAACGAUCAGUAGCCGGCCUGAGAGGGUGAACGGCCACAUUGGGACUGAGACGCGGCCCAAACUCCUACGGAAGGCAGCAG